GAAGGUAUGGCUCAGUGGUAGUGUGCCUAGCAUGCACAGUGUCCUGGGUUCAAUCCCCAGUACCUCCA
rnacentral:tRNA from 1 species